UUUUCCACUCAAACCCAAACCCGCAGCACAUUUAAAAAUAAUUUGCAAAUUUAAGAAAUUAAAUUUCAACAUAGACUUUGAAUUAAAUUACAACUAAAAUUAAGGUCUUCCAAGGAAAUUCAAACAUAGACUUUCAAGAAAUUACAACAUAGACUUUCAAGAAAUUAAAUUACAACUAAAAUUUAAGGUCUUCCAAGGAAAUUGAGGGAGACUAUGGGGGUAAUUAGGUAAUUAUAAAAUAUUUCGGGUGGGUGUAUGGGUUUUGGGUGUGGGUUUGACUGAUACCAAACUCACACCCAUAUUAUCGGGU
rnacentral:lncRNA from 1 species